UUGUCCGUAGAGAUGGCGCGUGAGAACCGAAGGCGUCGUCGUGUUCGGAGGAGGCCUCAUCUUUUUGGUGUCCGACCUCCCGUUUUGAUAAAUGGUCGUCCAGCUAGAAUGUCUCGAGAUUAUAUUGCGUAUUUGAAAGCUUCUUUUCGUGGGAGGUUGUAUCUCGGUAGUCCUGAAUAUACAUGUACUUAUUGCAAGGCUUUUUUUGGUAUAAUGAGCGGGCUACUCAGUUGAGUAAGUUCCAUAAAAGGAAGAUGUUUACUAAUCGUUGCUGCAAGGGUGGUAGGGUAUGGUUGGAACCGUAUAGGCAGUGGCCGGCUCCUCUUGAUCGCUUGAUUGGGUUUGGUGAUGGAGCUGGGUCGUCUCAGUUCAUGCGGUUGAUCAGGUCUUACAAUAGCAUGUUUGCCUUUUCUUCUCUGGGGGUGAAGGUUGAUGAUAGUAUAAAUACGGGGCGGGGUCCUUAUGUUUUUCGUAUUAAUGGCCUUCCUUCGCAUCGUAUUGGUUCUCUGGUUCCCGCGCCUAAUAAAUCGCCGAAGUUUGCUCAGCUGUAUAUUUAUGAUACAGAUAAUGAAAUUGAUUAUCGAAUGGCUGUAUUUGAUGGUGAGGGUGGAAGUGGGGUUGAGGGGGGUAGUCGUGCCGCUCCUGAUCGGGAUAUUGUUGUUUCUCUUACUGCUAUGCUUGAUAGUUGUAAUGCGUUGGUCAGACAGUUUAGAAUGAUCCGCGUUUCUCGGGAGCGGGUUGAGCUUGCUGGUGCGCCGUUUAGGCUUCGAAUUGUUGGUUCAUCUUCGGAUGAUCCGAGGGUUUAUAGUCCUCCUACCGCUCCUGAGUUAGCGGCU